rnacentral:rRNA from 1 species
GAUGAACGCUGGCGGCGUGCUUAACACAUGCAAGUCGAACGGGAAACCUUUUAUUGAAGCUUCGGCAGAUUUAGCUGGUUUCUAGUGGCGGACGGGUGAGUAACGCGUGGGUAACCUGCCUUAUAUAGGGGGAUAACAACCAGAAAUGGUUGCUAAUACCGCAUAAGCGCACAGGACCGCAUGGUCCGGUGUGAAAAACUCCGGUGGUAUAAGAUGGACCCGCGUUGGAUUAGCUAGUUGGCAGGGUAACGGCCUACCAAGGCGACGAUCCAUAGCCGGCCUGAGAGGGUGAACGGCCACAUUGGGACUGAGACACGGCCCAGACUCCUACGGGAGGCAGCAGUGGGGAAUAUUGCACAAUGGGGGAAACCCUGAUGCAGCGACGCCGCGUGAAGGAAGAAGUAUCUCGGUAUGUAAACUUCUAUCAGCAGGGAAGAUAGUGACGGUACCUGACUAAGAAGCCCCGGCUAACUACGUG